GCCGAAAUAGCUCAGUUGGGAGAGCAUCAGACUGAAGAUCUGAAGGUCCCUGGUUCAAUCCCGGGUUUUUUUU
rnacentral:tRNA from 1 species